rnacentral:rRNA from 1 species
UCCGUAGGUGAGCCUUGCGGAAGGAUCAUUACCGAGUGCGGGAACCCAGUCGGGUCCCAAUCUCCCACCCGUGUCUACCACACCUAGUGUUGCUUUGGCGGGCCCACUCCUCCGGUGUUCCGCCGGGGGGGUCGUCCCGGGGCGCGGUGUGCCCCCGGGGCCCGUGCCCGCCAGAGGCACUCACUGUGAACGCUUUUGUGAAUGCGAGGAUUGUCUGAGUGACGAAAUGCAAUCGUUCAAAACUUUCAACAAUGGAUCUCUUGGUUCCGGCAUCGAUGAAGAACGCAGCGAAAUGCGAUAAGUAAUGUGAAUUGCAGAAUUCCGUGAAUCAUCGAAUCUUUGAACGCACAUUGCGCCCUCUGGUAUUCCGGGGGGCAUGCCUGUCCGAGCGUCAUUGCGAACCCUCAAGCACGGCUUGUGUGUUGGGCCGCCGUCCCCUCGUUUGGAGGGGACGGGCCUGAAAGGCAGCGGCGGCGUCGCGUCCGGUCCUCGAGCGUAUGGGGCUCUGUCACGCGCUCAAGGAGGGGUCCGGCCGGGGCCAUAGCCUCUGAAGGCCAAUUCUUCCAAGGUUGACCUCGGAUCAGGUAGGAGUACCCGCUGAACUUAAGCAUAUCAAUAAGCGGAGGA